rnacentral:rRNA from 1 species
GUGGGGAAUAUUGGACAAUGGGCGAAAGCCUGAUCCAGCCAUGCCGCGUGUGUGAAGAAGGUCUUCGGAUUGUAAAGCACUUUAAGUUGGGAGGAAGGGCAGUAAGUUAAUACCUUGCUGUUUUGACGUUACCAACAGAAUAAGCACCGGCUAACUUCGUGCCAGCAGCCGCGGUAAUACGAAGGGUGCAAGCGUUAAUCGGAAUUACUGGGCGUAAAGCGCGCGUAGGUGGUUUGGUAAGAUGGAUGUGAAAUCCCCGGGCUCAACCUGGGAACUGCAUCCAUAACUGCCUGACUAGAGUACGGUAGAGGGUGGUGGAAUUUCCUGUGUAGCGGUGAAAUGCGUAGAUAUAGGAAGGAACACCAGUGGCGAAGGCGACCACCUGGACUGAUACUGACACUGAGGUGCGAAAGCGUGGGGAGCAAACAGGAUUAGAAACCCCUGUAGUCC